rnacentral:rRNA from 1 species
UACGUAGGGUGCAGGCGUUAAUCGGAAUUACUGGGCGUAAAGCGUGCGCAGGCGGUUUGCUAAGACAGGUGUGAAAUCCCCGGGCUUAACCUGGGAACUGCGCUUGUAACUGGCAAGCUGGAGUGUGGCAGAGGGGGGUGGAAUUCCACGUGUAGCAGUGAAAUGCGUAGAGAUGUGGAGGAACACCGAUGGCGAAGGCAGCCACCUGGGCUAACACUGACGCUCAUGCACGAAAGCGUGGGGAGCAAACAGG